AGUCGAGCGGUAGAGAGAAGCUUGCUUCUCUUGAGAGCGGCGGACGGGUGAGUAAUGCCUAGGAAUCUGCCUGGUAGUGGGGGAUAACGUUCGGAAACGGACGCUAAUACCGCAUACGUCCUACGGGAGAAAGCAGGGGACCUUCGGGCCUUGCGCUAUCAGAUGAGCCUAGGUCGGAUUAGCUAGUUGGUGGGGUAAUGGCUCACCAAGGCGACGAUCCGUAACUGGUCUGAGAGGAUGAUCAGUCACACUGGAACUGAGACACGGUCCAGACUCCUACGGGAGGCAGCAGUGGGGAAUAUUGGACAAUGGGCGAAAGCCUGAUCCAGCCAUGCCGCGUGUGUGAAGAAGGUCUUCGGAUUGUAAAGCACUUUAAGUUGGGAGGAAGGGCAGUUACCUAAUACGUAUCUGUUUUGACGUUACCGACAGAAUAAGCACCGGCUAACUCUGUGCCAGCAGCCGCGGUAAUACAGAGGGUGCAAGCGUUAAUCGGAAUUACUGGGCGUAAAGCGCGCGUAGGUGGUUUGUUAAGUUGGAUGUGAAAUCCCCGGGCUCAACCUGGGAACUGCAUUCAAAACUGACUGACUAGAGUAUGGUAGAGGGUGGUGGAAUUUCCUGUGUAUCGGUGAGAUGCGUAGAUAU
rnacentral:rRNA from 1 species